UCGGCGACGGUUAACAAUUCUAAUAAUUUCAGCAAUACUAUUGUAUUAUAAAUAUAAUAUAUUGUAUGUAUUUGGAUUUCAGUGAACAAAAAAAUAAUAGGCCACAAAUAUAAACGGACAGUUCGUUAAACCGGAUAAGUUGUAACACAAACUAGCAAAUUUCGUUUGAUCAGGUUAUUUUCAUAAAAUAUUUUGAUACUUUCAAGUUUCAGCUCAUCGGAGUGAGGUGAUUAGAUAAAGAUGGAUGAAGAUACCUGUUUUUUUUCGGCGAUGGCGGCACUCUAGCUACGUUUCACCGGAAGAGUAGAUGUUUACGAGUUGAGGUGUAACAGCAUUUUAGGGGCUAUUGUAAUUCCCACUUCCAGGACUUUAUGAUACAUACAGCCGACAGCCCGAUGACCUACAUUUUUGUGUAUUCUGGUCUACCCUAUGAUGGCCGCGAAGUAACGAUCACGUUACCGUUUAUCAGAUUGCCCAGUUUGAAAGAGUCUCCAACAAUUUCAUCGGAUAGGUACGCCAUAAACCGUGGCAUAGCGCUGGGCCAGCAUCAUUUUUUCCGGAUCAAUAUCUACAAAAAUGACGUCCCAAUUAUUAGAAGCUAAUAAUAUAGUGUCUUUGUCGAACAGUCAGCUGUACGAAGUUUCCGCUGUGCCACAAAACGGGUCGACGCCGGUCGCUGAACAUGGGAAGUCCUCAAGUCCACCCAGCAUCGUAUUGAUGAAUCAACAAUACACAGGCCCGGCUCAAGGGGUAGGCGACAUAGGCCCAAGCCUAGGGUGGCACAUAAGCUGCACAUUAGUAAGAGGGCGGCAUUUUCAAAAUACUGAUAAUAUUCUAUUGUUAAGGGCGGCAAAAUUUGAAUUUGCCUAGUUCACUUUUUUCCCUUGAGCCGGUCCUGACAAUACAUCUUACAUCUUACAUCUAACAAUUACAUCUUUCAAGUGGGUGACUGUUAUGGAUAGUGUUAAAUUUGAAUUCAAUGAUAUAAUAUCAUAGUAUACGAAAAACGAUUUUAAGUGGAGACGAUUUGUCAGCCUAGGAUAUUGUAUACUAUAUUUAUAUUGAUAUUAUUAAAAAUUAUUAAUA